rnacentral:RNase_P_RNA from 1 species
UUCGCUGAGCGUAUCGGCGGGAAGCGUUGAAACGGUGAACCCCUGCGGGUGCAAGCCAGAAACGGGCGAUGGGCUGCCUGGUGCCCGCCCAGGUUUGGCGCAUAGCCGAAUGCCGCCAUGAACAGAAGGGGGCUUACUCCUCCCACUC